CAACGAAAUCCACCCUUUCGGGUGGGUGAAAUACCGCUUCGCGGUGUGAUAUACGCCUGCGGCGUGUGAAAUCGCUG
rfam:Human gut metagenome DNA, contig sequence: F2-X_000130.